GUGACCGCCUGUCCGCCCCAUUGGUGAGUACGUGGCGCGCAUUUGGCCCUUUCAAGGGGAGCGUAUCUGCACUUCAUUGUGUGGUGCGGGAUCCUUGACUUUUACUUUGAGGAAAUAGGAGUGUUCCAAGCAGGCUCUCGUCGUGCACAGCUCACCAUGGAAUAAUAGCAUUGGACCUCAAUUCUAAUCUGUUGGUUGCCAGAAGCGAGGUAAUGAUGAAAAGGGAUAGUUGGGGGCAUUCGUAUUUAACUGUCAAAGGUGAAAUUCUUGGAUUUGUUAAAGACAGACUACUGCGAAAGCAUCUGCCAUGGAUGUUUUCAUUGAUCAAAAACGAAAGUUAGGGGAUCGAAAACAAUCAAAUACCGUCCUAGUCUUAACUAUAAACCAUGCCAGCUAGAGAUCGGAGGUUGUUCGUUUUGUGACCCCUUCAGCAUCUUGAGAGAAAUCAAAGCCUUUGGGUUCCGGGGGGAGUAUGGUCGCAAGGCUGAAACUUAAAGGAAUUGACAGAAGGGCACCACCAGGAGUGGAGCCUGCGGCUUAAUUUGACUCAACACGGGGAAACUUACCAGGUCCAGACUGGGUAAGGAUGUACAGAUUGAUAGCUCUUUACAGAUUCUCAGGGUGGUGGUGCAUGGCCGUUCUUAG
rnacentral:rRNA from 1 species